rnacentral:rRNA from 1 species
AUACGUAGGGGGCGAGCGUUGUCCGGAAUGAUUGGGCGUAAAGGGCGCGUAGGCGGCCUGUUAAGUCUGGAGUGAAAGUCCUGUUUUCAAGAUGGGAAUUGCUUUGGAUACUGAUGGGCUUGAGUGCAGGAGAGGUUAUCGGAAUUCCCGGUGUAGCGGUGAAAUGCGUAGAGAUUGGGAGGAACACCAGUGGCGAAGGCGACUUACUGGACUGUAACUGACGCUGAGGCGCGAAAGUGUGGGGAGCAAACAGGAUUAGAUACCCUGGUAGUCCACACUGUAAACGAUGAAUGCUAGGUGUAGGGGGUAUCGACCCCUUCUGUGCCGCAGUCAACACAAUAAGCAUUCCGCCUGGGGAGUACGGCCGCAAGGUUGAAACUCAAAGGAAUUGGCGGGG